CAAACUUGGACUUAUUCUCGGUCCUGUCCAGCUCAAUCAUAAACUUAUCAACAUUUUCUUGAUCCAUGAUGCUUAGUUUCUUUUCCAGCAGAGGAGGGCUUAGAGUCUUGUUGAUGUGCUCCACCACCUUCAGCAUUCCUUUCCCCAGGUACAGGAGAUACGGAAGA